CGGGGACGGGGUGGCCUUGCGGUGGCCUAGGGGUGGGGGGAGAAGGGUUGUUAUGCUUUAUCCAAGUGCUCCAGCACAGAUUAAUUUUAGCAAGAAACAGAGCGGCUUCUGUGCCUUUAGGUGACUUUCGUGACAUUUAGCAGCAAAGAAACCUGUUUCCUCUGCUAUUCAGAGCUAACCACGUGUAAUUGGCCCAGAAGUCUGUUGUAUUUUGGGUAACUGUUUGCGAUUUCCCAUCUGUUUUCAUCUCGCAGUUCAAACGAUACUGUUUACCCUUAUGUCGGGGAAAUUGGUUUACAUGCGCAGCAAUUUCAGUGCGACACCGAAAUGUUGAACCAACGCUACGAAUCGUACAGGCUUUGUACUGCUAAUAACCCUCCAUUACGACUGUCACGAGACAUUUACACAGCCUCUUGGUCCUGUAAAGGAAAACUCGUUUGCGUCUUUUUUCUCCGAACCGCGAUCCGGAGCUUCGGGCCCAGUUUCCCGAGUGACACAUCGUGAAACCGCAGGAAAGUGGUGCAAGCCCGGAACAGAUGGGUCUCUGACCCUGCGUGUUUCCCAGAUUGAGGAUGGAUGGAGGUGUAGACGGCUCAGGGCCAUCUAGCCCUUUCGUGAGCCGCAAAGAGAUGGUUCGGUGCUCCCAGGAGGGACAAGUCUCCUUUCUCAGGCUGUGUCGAGGAAAGGGAGCUCGUCAAUGCAGCGUGAAGCGCCUGCCCGCAGCGGUGUGGGUGGGGGGCGGUCUCGUUCUUUUGGCCCGUGGGCAGCCGCGGGACGGCUGCGUAACCGGCUCCGGAGACCGGGAGUGUGCGUUGGAGCCGCGCCCCGACUUUCCUGGGGCGGAGAAAUUGGAGAAAUUGCUCUGAAGUAGCGUCGGCUGCCCUGGCUGAGAGGCCCGUAAUCAGCCCCUGGCAUGUGUGCAAAUGCUGAUUUUGCGGGUGUUACUUAAUCCACGCCGGCGGUGAAAAGCCUCGGGUUGGUGGCACGCUCACCUCCCACCGCCAGGCUUCUUUCUCGGUCUGCUCUGGGGAGCAGACUCUGCGUCCAGGGUGGGGUGGGGUGACCGGUGAGGGUGUGAGUCUGAUGCUGGGGCUUCUUUGGCCCAAGGAUUGAGGAGUGAAAAAAGAAUGCGAAAAUGAAGCUGUUGACAGACGUCUGCCGCCUUAAUUCAGGCUGUUGUCCCAGUGUCCUGGUAGAAAUUAGCCAUUUCCUCUGUAUCCCAUGCUAACUUACUCUUUCAAGGGGAGGAGUAGUUGGCAGAGGAAAAAACCAUAAUGAUUUACACACAGUACAAAAUGUGACCAAGGCUAACUUGAGGAAGGUACAAGGAGAGGAAUAUUCAGUUGAUCAUUUAAACCUCAGUACCAGAAACAGUCAAAAAUAUCUGUGGAAGGCCAUAAGAUCAGUAAGGGGCUCCUCUACAAAGGAAGACCCAAAUUUAAGUCCUAGCAGUUAAAGUGACCUUUGGUAACUCCAGUAAGGUGGAGGCCUGCUCCUGGGCAAAUGCAGGAAAGCAAAGAUCUAAGGCCAUAACCCACAUCCCACAAAGAGUCCACCUUUUCCAAAGUUGGAAGGAAAAAGCUCCCUUACAACGCCUCAUGAUGACCAGACCUCAGUUCCCUCUACUACCUUCAAUUCAUGUCUCAUAUGACUUAUUGUUAUGCUGGAAAUGAGUAAUUUUAAAAAGCAAAAUAUUCUGGGGGAAAAGGAGUGAAAAUUCCAACCUACCUCAUCCCUUAAAUUUCAAAAGGCAAAUAAUCCAUUAACUCAUGACCACACCUCUCCCUGCCCCCCAAAAGCAAUGAGAAUUUAAAUUUAUAUAACAACUUGAAUAUAGGUCUAAAUUAUAAGGGGCAAUCUCUCUUUUCAGAUCCUUGAGCAUUUUAUUUUGUGGCCUUUCCAGUACUUUCUACCAAAAACAAAUCCACAGAGAACAUGAAAGCAUCCCAGCUAUAGAAACUAGUUUUAGUCAAUCGGUGAAGACAAAUUGGAAGGUUUGUCCUGAAAAGCAAUGAUUUUAAGGUUAAGGUUAUACUUUUUAUUCAUAGUCAGCGUAGCCGCAAAGUGUAGAAAGAAAGACAACAAUUGUCUCAGAGUAUAGUGUUCACAUAUCAGGGCCAUUGUAAAAACAGGGUUUUAGUUGAACAGGGUUUCUUAGUAGAGGCCGCCUCUGCCUUACUAAUUGUCCUCCUUGAUGUUUGCUUUCUUUUGUCCUCCUUACCCAUCUACUACAGCUGACAAAACUUACACCAAAGAGACUCCUCACACAAUUUGUUUUUGAGCGACUGCUAUUUGCUUAGCACUGUACUAGCAAUAAUGAAGGGCAGGAAAGGAUCAGAUGUGUUCCCUGCCCUUUUGGAGCUUCUCAUUUGCUUGGGGAGAAAAGACUUAGAAAACUUAGGGUAUUCAUGUCCAUUAAAGAGGUAAGAAGGGCCAACACAGUAUUGCUGAGGGAACGGAGUGAGAAUGGCAGCACAGUUAGAGCGUGAGGAGUGGCACAGGUCACAGGAAUCUUUUCCGGGUCACCCAAGUGGUCUUCAGGUCACGGUGGAGAGAAAACUAGAUGAGGAGAUUGGGAAGUCAGCAACCAGAUGGGGCCUGGCUCAGCUUUGUGCUUUUUUCCCCUGCCUCUUCUGCUCUUGCAGCGUGCACGGGAAACAACUGAAGGGCAAAUCUGGAAUUCAUGGUGUGUGUCUGCGUGUGUAGGGGUGAGUUGGGGAGGAAAAGGCCAAAUACAUUAUCUGAUCAUUCUCUACCUGUGAGGAGGUUAGGGAGCUUCAUUUUCUGGCUGCCUUGCUAUUUGCAUGGAUAUGAUGCCCAAAUGUAAUCUCAGGAAAAUAAACUAACUGGAUUAUGAGCUGAAGAAUCAUGUGGCUUUUUUUCCUGCUAGCAUCUCAGCAGCUGCUCUAGGACAAACAUGGCCCAACAAAACUGCCACCAUCACAGGAUGAAUCUAAAGGACUUAAUUGCCUACCACACACACAGAGGACCGAAUGUUUUAUAGGUGAUCAGAGUCUUAUCAGCUCUGUAGUUGGCAGAAGACUUGAUCUUUGACCACUUGCCUCUUCAUGAUCUUGCCCAAAGUUUAUAUCCGUAAUCAUCUAUAAUGAGCCUAUGCUGUCAGAUUUACCCAGCAUCUGUCCCAGAAGACUGAGGCCCAGGCCAUGGUCAGCACUACUGAUGGGCAGCCUGAAAGAGCCUGGAAGAGCCCUGCAGGUGGACUUGAACUCGACAGACGGAGGAACAUCACUGAACACAUCCCAUUUGUUAGCAGUCUGAGCUUCAUAGGCCCUGGGCUUAUGGCAUUCCUUCAUGGCGGACAUGGCAGAACGAGUUGGACAUGCCAUUUUAGACUGAGCUCUGAAUCUCCAGACUGGAGACUGUGGUCUCGACCAUAUGCCUGCAGGCAACAUGGGCUCACAUCAAACCAUCACGUGGUACCCUCUGUGCUUAGAGCUUCAUAUCCAGGAGCAUGGCAGCAAGGACAACAUUGUGGUCAUUUUGUCCCAUAGUCCUGAACUGUCAACAAGAAUCUCAAGAAGUAAUGAAGUCUGUGGCCCUGCAGUUCUACUCUGAGAUGUACACCCAAGAGAACUGAAAACAUACACACAAAUGUUGACAGCAGUACUAUUCAUAACAGCCAAAAAGUGGAAACAAUCCAAAUGUUCAUCAGCUGAUGAAUGGAUCAACAAAUGUGGUAUGUCCAUAAGCUGGAAUAUUAUUCAGCACAAAAGGGAAUAAGUAUUGAUACAUGGUAUAACAUGGAUGAACCUUGGAAACAUGCUGAGUGGAAGAAGCCAGAAACAAAAGGCCAUGUAUUAUGUGAUUCCAUUCAGAUGAAAUAUCCAGAAUAGGCAAAUCCAUAGAGACUGAAAAUAGAUUUGUGAUUGCAGUGGGUUGGGGGGUUGGAAGAAUGGGGAGUGACUGCUAAUGGGUAUGGGAUUUCUUUUUUGGGUGAUCGAAAUGUUCUGGAAUUAGG